AUUGAACGCUGGCGGCAGGCUUAACACAUGCAAGUCGAACGGUAAACAGGGAGAAACUUGUUUCUCUGCUGACGAGUGGCGGACGGGUGAGUAAAUGCUUGGGAAUCUGCCUAUGGAGGGGGAUAACCACUGGAAAACGGUGGCUAAUACCGCGUAAUAUCUUCGGAUUAAAGUGUGGGACUUUCGAGCCACACGCCAUAAGAUGAGCCCAAGUGAGAUUAGGUUGUUGGUGAGGUAAUGGCUCACCAAGCUUACGAUCUCUAGCUGGUUUGAGAGGAUGACCAGCCACACUGGGACUGAGACACGGCCCAGACUCCUACGGGAGGCAGCAGUGGGGAAUAUUGCACAAUGGGCGCAAGCCUGAUGCAGCCAUGCCGCGUGAAUGAAGAAGGCCUUAGGGUUGUAAAGUUCUUUCAUUAGUGAGAAAGCGGUUAUAUCUAAUAGGUGUAACCAUUGAUGUUAGCUAAAGAAGAAGCACCGGCUAACUCCGUGCCAGCAGCCGCGGUAAUACGGAGGGUGCGAGCGUUAAUCGGAAUGACUGGGCGUAAAGGGCACGCAGGCGGUUAUUUAAGUCAGAUGUGAGAGCCCCGAGCUUAACUUGGGAAUUGCAUUUGAUACUGGGUAACUAGAGUCCUCUAGGGAGGGGUAGAAUUCCAUGUGUAGCGGUGAAAUGCGUAGAGAUGUGGAGGAAUACCGAAGGCGAAGGCAGCCCCUUGGAGAGAGACUGCCCUCAUGUGCGAAAGCGUGGGUAGCAAACAGG
rnacentral:rRNA from 1 species